GAAUAUUGCACAAUGGGGGAAACCCUGAUGCAGCGACGCCGCGUGAGUGAAGAAGUAUUUCGGUAUGUAAAGCUCUAUCAGCAGGGACGAUAAUGACGGUACCUGACUAAGAAGCCCCGGCUAACUACGUGCCAGCAGCCGCGGUAAUACGUAGGGGGCAAGCGUUAUCCGGAUUUACUGGGUGUAAAGGGAGCGUAGGUGGCUGGAUAAGUCAGAUGUGAAAGCCCAGGGCUCAACCCUGGGACUGCAUUUGAAACUAUCUGGCUAGAGUGCAGGAGAGGUAAGUGGAAUUCCUAGUGUAGCGGUGAAAUGCGUAGAUAUUAGGAGGAACACCAGUGGCGAAGGCGGCUUACUGGACUGUGACUGACACUGAGGCUCGAAAGCGUGGGGAGCAAACA
rnacentral:rRNA from 1 species